GCCCAUCUCUCUGCUUUCAUCGUUAUGUGCGAGUGUUUCAUCGGCUGGCCCCCCCCCCAUUGGGGGGUGUUCAAACAUAUAUUAUCUACUAGAUCUCAGACUAUCAAACGACUCAGCCAGUCGGAUGAUAAAACGCAUCUUCUCCAACUCUGCGGAGGUUUAGGUUUCCAGAAAAAGAGUCGGAGUAGUUAUCCUGCUCUUCAGCUGAGCGAGUCGGUCAGGAACUGGCAGUCGACGUGGUUCUACUGCCAAGACGUUGCAUGUCUGAACGCCUCUUCAGGGUUGCCCCCUUUUAGCCUUGAUCGUCCCGCUCCACCUAAGCAGCUCGCGCUCACGAAGGCGGAG
rnacentral:lncRNA from 1 species